UGAUAUGGCAGCUUGACAUGGGCACCUAUCGAAAAGGUAUUAUGGAUUGUGGAAGUGUCACACCCAGGGGCUGGCUAUGCUUUGACUAAGCCACACCCCUUCUCAACUUCCACCUCGAGGAGGUCCCCAAAGCCAACCCAAUGGCCAAACAACACGAGAACAAAUGGGCUAUGGCCGGGAAGAGGUCAGGGAGCAAGGGGGCCACGGGGAUCCGGGGCGUGGGACUCGGGCCCCGGCCUGAGUCUUAGGUAUCCGUAGCGCCCUCCUUCUUCCUCCUCUUCGCUGAAUACAGCUCACGGUAAGUACUGGUUCACACAGUUCGUUCUCGGGGUGCUCACUCUCUUUCUCUUCCUCCACAGGCAACGGCUGGGACACAAAGGCACAGUUAAUUCGGCUUGGUUUUGCUCUCACCUCUUCGCUGAUUGCAGCUCACAGUAAGUACUGGUUCACACAGUUCGUUCUCUGGGUGCUCACUCUCUUUCUCUUUCUCCACAGGCAACGGCUGGGACACACAGGCACAGUUAGUUCAGCUUGGUUUUGCUCUCACCUCUUCGCUGGACACAGCGUACUGUAUCAACUUGGACACAAAGCACAGUUACUCUGCUUUGGAUGGCUUUCACCUCUGGGCUGGACACAGCGUACCGUGCUAUCUCCGGAGAUCUGAAGCACGCUCACAACAUAUACUGUACUGAACUAGGCUAGGACCAGCAGUCUCCUUGUCCUCCCGCGACGAAGUGCGUGAAGGCGGGGGUUUAUCUGACAGGACACACGGCAAUACACAGCAGCCCACAGCAAUAUACAACACCACGUCAAAAUUAUAGGUUUUCACAGCACGAAGACUCACCCACCACACUCAGUGUACGAAAAGGACACCCGUCUUCCUUCACUUCGCUUGGUUCGGAUCUGGCGAUGGAAUAUGCGGCCUAGCUAGUGAUGUCGUCGUUGUGACUACUUCAAUAAGUAUUCCUUCGGCUCUCCCACCACGCUAUAUUAGGGGUAGGGCCGCCCUCCUCCUCCUGGAGAGAUCUACACAACGCCAGGUCAAUAUACAGGGCACUUUCGACUGGCUCUUAGUACUCACAUCAAUGCCGCUUCCAAUCCCCUUUUUCACGUCGUCUCAGUUCGCCGUAUAAUCCGUUCACUUCUCAACCUUUAAGGUUCGCGAUGUCUUCACAAUCAUACAAUUCCAGCCUGAGGGAGAGAGAGAGUUAGACAGCCACCAGCAGCGCACCAAGACGGGCACAACACAGUGCUUCACACACACCAGAAAGAGCCCCCAGACUGUGAAAUAACUUGGCCUUAAGUACUGCCUUGUCCAGCGUAUCCUCCAAUCACCAACCGCUGUCCCUAACUAGGCACAGGUGCAUCGAAUUCCCUGAUUUUCCUUCUUACAGCGCUACCGGAAGUUCCGGUGUUCUGUUUUUCCGGUCCGGGCGGAAACACUUCCGGGCGGAACCAAACUUCCCGAAUUUUGGUUCCGCCCCUAAAGAUCGUCACCUUGUGACAGAAGCACCAAUGUGGUAACUAACCACUCCAGUUGAUGCAGUUAAAAUCACACUUCUAUCAUCAGGGUUUUCAGACAGCUGAGCUAAAUGUCUGGAAGAUUUGUAGUCUAUUG
ensembl:lncRNA